ACACCAAAAUAGAUCAAUUUUAUCGAAUUCUUAAUUGAAUUGAAUUAAAUAAUACCUACCUUAGUUACAUGUACAAUGUUCAAAAAUAAUAGAAAUCCAACAACAACAACUGCAACAAAAACUCAAAAAAAAUGUUUUACUGGAGAAUUAAUUAUACUGAUAUUCUUACGAUUUAACUGAACAGUAUCGUACAACCUCAUCCAAUAAUUAUUUAUUACAAUAUUGAAUACGUAAUUGUAACUAAUAACUAGUAUUUAAAACACGAGAAGGAGUGUUUUAUCAUAUUUAAAAAGCGAGGCGCCGGCCGAGCGUUUUAGAUAUGAUAGAGCACUCCUCGUGUUUUGAAUAGCUUAAAAUACGACUACAAAAGAAUACUAAUUAGGAUGAACAAUUAUAUAAUCAUACUAAUUACGAUUACCAAUUAUAUAAAGAAUACUAAUGAAGAUGAGUUUUAUCAGAUAUAAAGUCACUCCAAGUGACAUACGAUGGCUGACAUGAUUUGCCACAACGUUUAUGAAUUUUUAAAAAUACAAUUUUGAUGCGGGCAAAGGCUGGAGAUUUGACUCGAGCGCUUAUCCCCCCCCCCCCCGUAAGGAAUUUGAAAGUCAAUGUUAUUCCGGGGGGGGGUCAUUUGACGACAUUUCUGAAGUCCUACACGAAGCAGUAAAGCCCAGGUCACACUACACAACGAUACGAUAACUUGUAUACGCGCGCUGAUUGGUAAAAAAUUUAUCGUUAUCGUCCGACUGAAAAAGAAAUCGCUCAGGUGAGCGAUUUUAAAAUCGUUGUCGUUAUCGUCUAACGAUAAUUUUACCAUUUUCGUUGUUGUGUGGACACUAAUACAAUUUUUUUGACAAUUAUCGCGUGUUUACAAUUUAUCGUAUCGUUAUCGUUGUGUAGUGUGACCGGGCCUUAAAGCAUUAAACCCAAUAAAUAGUUGUUUGGACAAUAAUAUUGUAUAAAUAUAAUUGUUUUUCAGUACGGAAAGUGUUUAUUCUGUCCACAGGUGGGGAUUUUUUGAUAGAUUUGAUUGAUAUUAGUCUCCCCAACCGAGGAAAUUUUACCCAAAAUUUCAGCUUUUUGUCAAAUUCCCACCCUUUGCCCCGCAGCAUUAAUUAUAUCGCGUCCCGUAACUUCGGUGGAGGGUCUUAUCAAUGUGUCAAAUGUUUCUGUUAGGUUCAAUUUUCAAUGAUGCAAAUUUUUCUAUUUCCCGAAGUUCCACAAGUAGACUGUUCCAGUCGUUGACAACAAUCCCAAUUCUUCUCGACGCGUUCGAAAUGUAAGUUCUGUUUGUUUCAGGUGUUGUAGCUGUCAGACGAGUACUUAAGACUAUUGCGCGUUUUUACAUCUGUUCUUGUGGACCAAUAAGGGACGGACCAUUAGAAAAGUGAUGGGGGGAGGGGGUGGUCCAUUUCCAACGUGCACGAUUACU